rnacentral:rRNA from 1 species
GACGAACGCUGGCGGCGUGCUUAACACAUGCAAGUCGAACGGAAAGGCGCUGCUUUUGUGUGGUUCUCGAGUGGCGAACGGGUGAGUAACACGUGAGUAACCUUGCCGUGACGUUGGGAUAACUUCAGGAAACUGGGGCUAAUACCGGAUAGGAGCUCCUGCUACAUGGUGUGGGUUGGAAAGGUUCGGCGGUUUUGGAUGGACUCGCGGCUUAUCAGCUUGUUGGUGGGGUAGUGGCUUACCAAGGCUUUGACGGGUAGCCGGCCUGAGAGGGUGACCGGCCACCUUGGGACUGAGAUACGGCCCAGACUCCUACGGGAGGCAGCAGUGGGGAAUAUUGCACAAUGGGCGGAAGCCUGAUGCAGCAACGCCGCGUGUGGGAUGACGGCCUUCGGGUUGUAAACCGCUUUCGCCUGUGACGAAGCGUGAGUGACGGUAAUGGGUAAAGAAGCACCGGCUAACUACGUG